GGCCGCGGGAAUUCGAUUCAGGCCUAACACAUGCAAGUCGAGCGGGGUUUUCGGACCUAGCGGCGGACGGGUGAGUAAUGCGUAGGAAGCUACCCGAUAGAGGGGGAUACCAGUUGGAAACGACUGUUAAUACCGCAUAAUGUCUACGGACCAAAGUGUGGGACCUUCGGGCCACAUGCUAUCGGAUGCGCCUACGUGGGAUUAGCUAGUUGGUGAGGUAAUGGCUCACCAAGGCGACGAUCCCUAGCUGGUUUGAGAGGAUGAUCAGCCACACUGGAACUGAGACACGGUCCAGACUCCUACGGGAGGCAGCAGUGGGGAAUAUUGGACAAUGGGCGCAAGCCUGAUCCAGCAAGGCCGCGUGUGUGAAGAAGGCCUUCGGG
rnacentral:rRNA from 1 species